rnacentral:rRNA from 1 species
AAAUGAAUAGACGGGGACCCGCACAAGCGGUGGAGCAUGUGGUUUAAUUCGACGCAACGCGAGGAACCUUACCAGAUCUUGACAUCCUCAGAAUCGAACAGAAGUGUUUGAGUGCCUUCGGGAACUGAGAGACAGGUGGUGCAUGGCUGUCGACAGCUCGUGUCGUGAGAUGUUGGGUUAAGUCCCGCAACGAGCGCAACCCCUAUCGUUAGUUACCAUCAUUAAGUUGGGGACUCUAGCGAGACUGCCUGCGAAGAGCAGGAGGAAGGUGGGGAUGACGUCAAGUCAUCAUGCCCCUUAUGAUCUGGGCUACACACGUGCUACAAUGGAUGGUACAAAGAGGAGCGAAAUGGUGACAUGGAGCAAAUCUCAAAAGCCAUUCCCAGUUCGGAUUGAAGUCUGCAACUCGACUUCAUGAAGUUGGAAUCGCUAGUAAUCGCAAAUCAGCAAUGUUGCGGUGAAUACGUUCUCGGGUCUUGUACACACCGCCCGU